AUACCAUGAUAAGGACAUUUUCAUAAUAACUCAUUGAAUCUCUCCUAUGCCUCAUAUAGAGAUUUGUCAUCAAGUUGCUGGAAUGUGGUGAUCUCAUUCUAAAGUU
rfam:Gossypium raimondii Chr13_contig_391, whole genome shotgun sequence.